rnacentral:rRNA from 1 species
UAGGGAAUAUUGCUUAAUGGGCGAAAGCCUGAAGCAGCAACGCCGCGUGCACGAUGAAGGUCUUCGGAUCGUAGAGUGCUUUUUUAGAGGAUGAGGAAGGACAGUACUCUAAGAAUAAGCCUCGGCUAACUACGUGCCAGCAGCCGCGGUAAAACGUAGGAGGCGAGCGUUAUCCGGAUUUACUGGGCGUAAAGCGUGUGCAGGCGGUUUGGUAAGUUGGAUGUGAAAGCUCCUGGCUUAACUGGGAGAGGUCGUUCAAUACUGCCAGACUUGAGAGUGAGAGAGGGAGGUGGAAUUCCGGGUGUAGUGGUGAGAUGCGUAGAUAUCCGGAGGAACACCAGUGGCGAAAGCGGCCUCCUGGCUCAUUUCUGACACUCAUACACGAAAGCUAGGGUAGCAAACG